GCUGGGUGUGGUGGCACACACCUGUAAUCCCAGAAGUUAUGGAGGCUGGGGCAGGAGGAUUGUGAGUUCAAAGCCAGCCUCAGUAAAAGUGAGGCACUAAGCAACUCAGCGAGACCCUGUUUCUA
rnacentral:sRNA from 1 species